rnacentral:misc_RNA from 1 species
AAGUCGUAACAAGGUUUCCGUAGGUGAACCUGCGGAAGGAUCAUUAACACUUUAUCCUUUAUAUAAACAACUGUGAACAUGUUACCCUACCUGUCAGUUCCACUAACAAUGGAAGGAAUCGUCAGUUUAGUUUUUUGGUUUAACUAUUCUGGCUAGAAGUCUCUGAGCUUCAAGAUUUUACUGAUAGGCAUUUUUAUCAACCAUUAAUUUUAACAACUUUAACUUUAAACUGAACUAAUCUAUGCUUCUCUAGCAGCAAUGCUAGUAGAAUCAAGUUAUACGAAACUAAGAACAACUCUUAGCAAUGGAUAUCUUGGUUCCC